CUACUACUCCCUCCGUCCAAAAAUACUUGUCAUUGAAAUGGAUGUAUCUAGAUGUAUUUUAGUUCUAGACACAUCCAUUUUGAUGACAAGUAAUUCCAGACGGAGGGAGUAUUAU
rnacentral:pre_miRNA from 1 species